AAAUGUCCAGUGGUCAAAGUCUGAACACACUGCGCUUCACUGAGUUAAACUUUCCUGUGGAUCCUGGUUUCUUUCCCACAGAUCUUGUCAGAACCUCUGAGAUGCAGUGGGGCCUGUGAGCCUCUAUGAGGGAGUCACAGUUUAUGCGUUUGCCAAACUCAUUCACCCUGGGAAUAUUUUCAUCCAACAUCCAUGAACCCCUCCGGAACUGCAGAUGGCCAGGCUCUCUGAUUUGAGAAGUCCUUUCCUAGAUGUUUCUGAAGCUUUUCGAGCUGAGAUUUCGUGAUUCUGGAGAGGAACCUGCUAGGGAUAGAAGACCCUUCUCCUACGAAAUCCACAAGGCUAGGCCUGCCUUGUCCACGUCCGAGGAAGGGCCAGAUCCUGAGGCUUGCAGCAAACACCUUCAUGAACCCCAUCUUCACCUUUGGCUGGCGGAAGAGGCUCGGAGGUUAUUUGAGCUGGUUUCCAGCUGGGACUCUGGGGACCAGAGAGGAAGACACGCAUAUCAAAGCCAAACAGAAUGCUUCGGUGUGAGCCUCUUGCAGGGUCAUUGACAGAAUGUCUGCUGGCAGGGGUGGUCCGUAUCAUCUCUUUGAC